UAGAGUUUGAUCAUGAGUCAGAACGAACGCGGGCGGCGUGAUUAACACAUGCAAGUCGAACACGAAAGGGACUUGGAUCUAGUGUAGAGUGGCGCACGGGUGAACACUAGUAAAUAAUCUACCCCUGGGUGUGGAAUAACCAGUAGAAAGGGUGGAUUAUACCGGAUACAUUUCAUAAUUGCUAGAUUAUGGAGGAAAGGUGGCUUCUGACAUAAGAUAGUGCAUAGGGAUGAGUUUGCACCCAUUAGCUAGUAGGUGGGGUAAAGGCCUACCUAGGCGACGAUGGUUAGCGGGUCUGAGAGGAUGAUCCGCCACACUGGAACUGGAACACGGUCCAGACUCACGGGGAGGCAGCGUUGAGGAAUAUUGCGCAAUGGGGGCAACCCUGACGCAGCGACGCCGCGUGUUGAGGAAGGUUUUGGGUUGUAAAAGCCCUGUAGGAGGGGAAGAAGUGUGCCAGGGAUAAUACCUGGUGCAUUUGACGGUACCUCCAAAGGAAGCACCGGCUAACUCCGUGCCAGCAGCCGCGGUAAUAAUCGAA
rnacentral:rRNA from 1 species